UUCAGAUGUCUGACAUCAGGAAAUUCAUUUGUGGAUUUGCAUCAUGUUUUUCGAAUUGGCGUUGCAACUGUAAGAGAAAUUGUAGGAAAAGUUUGUGUAUCCAUCUGGGAGUUACAAAUUGCAACAGAGUUUGAACCUAUGGCAGAUUUUCCAAACUGCCUUGGCACAGUAGGUGGAAAACAUAAAAGAAUUCUAGACGUUUCGCAGAGCAUUCGUUUGGAAUAAUGGCUAAUAAAUGGCAGAUUAUAGACACUGAGAAAUAAUAUUGUGUUUGGUACAACUACGUUCGAAGUAGUAACCGUAUACUUCUGUACGAUAUUUGUGUAGCUUUCCAAGAUCUCACGAGGAUCAUUUACUACGAACAUGCAGACGUCCUAACAAUUUAAAAUACAGAAAUUCAGUCGCAGAUUAUUUCCUAAAAGAAGAAGCAGUUCAUGAUAAAAUGAUUGUAUUUAAUUAGUGUGAAAUAGAUGCUACUAUUUGUGUAAUUCUAAUUCUAAUCAAAAAAGUUUGUUCACAUACUUA